GUGUACCUACGGGGCGCAGCAGUGGGGAAUAUUGCACAAUGGGGGAAACCCUGAUGCAGCGACGCCGCGUGAGCGAAGAAGUAUUUCGGUAUGUAAAGCUCUAUCAGCAGGGAAGAAAAUGACGGUACCUGACUAAGAAGCCCCGGCUAAAUACGUGCCAGCAGCCGCGGUAAUACGUAUGGGGCAAGCGUUAUCCGGAUUUACUGGGUGUAAAGGGAGUGCAGGCGGCUUGGCAAGUCUGAUGUGAAAGGCUGGGGCGCAACCCCAGGACUGCAUUGGAAA
rnacentral:rRNA from 1 species